UGGCCAAUGGCUCAGUGGUAGAGCAUCUGCUUUGCACCCAGACAGCCACGGGUUCUAUCCCCAGCAUCUCUGGUUAA
rnacentral:tRNA from 1 species